CUCAGGAUGAACGCUAGCUACAGGCUUAACACAUGCAAGUCGAGGGGCAUCAGGGCGAUAGCUUGCUAUCGUUGCUGGCGACCGGCGCACGGGUGAGUAACGCGUAUCCAACCUGGCCCCCAGUAGGGAAUAGCCCGGCGAAAGUCGGAUUAAUGCCCUAUGUUAUCCGAAGAGGACAUCUGAUUUGGAUUAAAGAUUCAUCGCUGGGGGAUGGGGAUGCGUCCGAUUAGGUAGUAGGCGGGGCAACGGCCCACCUGGCCGACGAUCAGUAGGGGUUCUGAGAGGAAGGUCCCCCACAUUGGAACUGAGACACGGUCCAAACUCCUACGGGAGGCAGCAGUGAGGAAUAUUGGUCAAUGGUCGAGAGACUGAACCAGCCAAGUAGCGUGCAGGAUGACGGCCCUAUGGGUUGUAAACUGCUUUUAUGCGGGGAUAAAGUGAGGGACGUGUCCCUUUUUGUAGGUACCGCAUGAAUAAGGACCGGCUAAUUCCGUGCCAGCCGCUGC
rnacentral:rRNA from 1 species